GAUUAACGCUAGCGGCAGGCCUAAUACAUGCAAGUCGAACGGUAACAGGUGUAGCAAUACAUGCUGACGAGUGGCGCACGGGUGCGUAACGCGUAUGCAACCUACCUAUAACUGGGGAAUAGCCUUCUGAAAGGAAGAUUAACACCGCAUAAUAUCAUGAAACGGCAUCGUUUUGUGAUCAAAUCUCCGGAGGUUAUAGAUGGGCAUGCGUGACAUAGCUAGUUGGUGAGGUAACGGCUCACCAAGGCUACGAUGUCUAGGGGGUCUGAGAGGAUGAUCCCCACACUGGGUACUGAGACACGGGACCAGACUCCUACGGGAGCAGCAGUAAGGAAUAUUGGACAAUGGGC
rnacentral:rRNA from 1 species